rnacentral:rRNA from 1 species
UACGUAGGGGGCAAGCGUUGUCCGGAAUUAUUGGGCGUAAAGCGCGCGCAGGCGGUCAUGUAAGUCUGGUGUUUAAACCCGGGGCUCAACUCCGGGUCGCAUCGGAAACUGUGUGACUUGAGUGCAGAAGUGGAAAGUGGAAUUCCACGUGUAGCGGUGAAAUGCGUAGAGAUGUGGAGGAACACCAGUGGCGAAGGCGACUUUCUGGGCUGUAACUGACGCUGAGGCGCGAAAGCCAGGGGAGCAAACAGG